GCGACCCCAGGUCAGGCGGGACUACCCGCUGAAUU
rnacentral:rRNA from 3 species